rnacentral:rRNA from 1 species
UACGAAGGGUGCAAGCGUUACUCGGAAUUACUGGGCGUAAAGGGUGCGUAGGUGGUUUGUUAAGUCUGCUGUGAAAUCCCCGGGCUCAACCUGGGAAUGGCAGUGGAUACUGGCAAGCUAGAGUGCGGUAGAGGGUAGUGGAAUUCCCGGUGUAGCAGUGAAAUGCGUAGAGAUCGGGAGGAACAUCUGUGGCGAAGGCGGCCACCUGGACCAGCACUGACACUGAGGCACGAAAGCGUGGGGAGCAAACAGG